UUUCCGUAGGUGAACCUGCGGAAGGAUCAUUAAUGAGUUGUCAUGGGGUUCGAUGCUGGCAGCCAGUUUUUGGAUGCAUGUGCUUGCCCUAACAAUCAUCUUCUUCCAAACACCUGUGCACAUUUUUGAGGGAGUCUUGAGUUGGUUGCCGCUCUUGGGUGAUUUUCUCACAUUCCCUUAAAUUAUUAUACGCUAUUAACAAUGUUGAACGUGCUCUGUGCCGCAAGGCCAUUAAUAUAAUACAACUUUUAACAACGGAUCUCUUGGCUCUC
rnacentral:misc_RNA from 1 species